GCCAGCAUGGCACGGUGGUUUGAGCACCGGACUACGACUCUGGAGACCGCAGUUCGAAUCCCCGCUCGGCCA